rnacentral:rRNA from 1 species
GACGAACGCUGGCGGCGUGCUUAACACAUGCAAGUCGAACGGAAAGGCCCUGCUUUUGUGGGGUGCUCGAGUGGCGAACGGGUGAGUAACACGUGAGUAACCUGCCCUUGACUUUGGGAUAACUUCAGGAAACUGGGGCUAAUACCGGAUAGGAGCUCCUGCUGCAUGGUGGGGGUUGGAAAGUUUCGGCGGUUGGGGAUGGACUUGCGGCUUAUCAGCUUGUUGGUGGGGUAGUGGCUUACCAAGGCUUUGACGGGUAGCCGGCCUGAGAGGGUGACCGGCCACAUUGGGACUGAGAUGCGGCCCAGACUCGUACGGGAGGCAGCGGUGGGGAAUAUUGCACAAUGGGCGGAAGCCUGAUGCAGCAACGCCGCGUGCGGGAAGACGGCCUUCGGGUUGUAAACCGCUUUCGCCUGUGACGAAGCGUGAGUGACGGUAAUGGGUAAAGAAGCACCGGCUAACUACGUG